rnacentral:rRNA from 1 species
GUUAAGCGACUAAGCGUACACGGUGGAUGCCCUGGCAGUCAGAGGCGAUGAAGGACGUGCUAAUCUGCGAUAAGCGUCGGUGAGGUGAUAUGAACCGUUAUAACCGGCGAUUUCCGAAUGGGGAAACCCAGUGUGUUUCGACACACUAUCAUUAACUGAAUCCAUAGGUUAAUGAGGCGAACCGGGGGAACUGAAACAUCUAAGUACCCCGAGGAAAAGAAAUCAACCGAGAUUCCCCCAGUAGCGGCGAGCGAACGGGGAGGAGCCCAGAGCCUGAAUCAGUGUGUGUGUUAGUGGAAGCGUCUGGAAAGGCGCGCGAUACAGGGUGACAGCCCCGUACACAAAAAUGCACAUAUUGUGAGCUCGAUGAGUAGGGCGGGACACGUGGUAUCCUGUCUGAAUAUGGGGGGACCAUCCUCCAAGGCUAAAUACUCCUGACUGACCGAUAGUGAACCAGUACCGUGAGGGAAAGGCGAAAAGAACCCCGGCGAGGGGAGUGAAAAAGAACCUGAAACCGUGUACGUACAAGCAGUGGGAGCCUCUUAAUGGGGUGACUGCGUACCUUUUGUAUAAUGGGUCAGCGACUUAUAUUCUGUAGCAAGGUUAACCGAAUAGGGGAGCCGAAGGGAAACCGAGUCUUAACUGGGCGUUAAGUUGCAGGGUAUAGACCCGAAACCCGGUGAUCUAGCCAUGGGCAGGUUGAAGGUUGGGUAACACUAACUGGAGGACCGAACCGACUAAUGUUGAAAAAUUAGCGGAUGACUUGUGGCUGGGGGUGAAAGGCCAAUCAAACCGGGAGAUAGCUGGUUCUCCCCGAAAGCUAUUUAGGUAGCGCCUCGUGAAUUCAUCUCCGGGGGUAGAGCACUGUUUCGGCAAGGGGGUCAUCCCGACUUACCAACCCGAUGCAAACUGCGAAUACCGGAGAAUGUUAUCACGGGAGACACACGGCGGGUGCUAACGUCCGUCGUGAAGAGGGAAACAACCCAGACCGCCAGCUAAGGUCCCAAAGUCAUGGUUAAGUGGGAAACGAUGUGGGAAGGCCCAGACAGCCAGGAUGUUGGCUUAGAAGCAGCCAUCAUUUAAAGAAAGCGUAAUAGCUCACUGGUCGAGUCGGCCUGCGCGGAAGAUGUAACGGGGCUAAACCAUGCACCGAAGCUGCGGCAGCGACGCUUAUGCGUUGUUGGGUAGGGGAGCGUUCUGUAAGCCUGCGAAGGUGUGCUGUGAGGCAUGCUGGAGGUAUCAGAAGUGCGAAUGCUGACAUAAGUAACGAUAAAGCGGGUGAAAAGCCCGCUCGCCGGAAGACCAAGGGUUCCUGUCCAACGUUAAUCGGGGCAGGGUGAGUCGACCCCUAAGGCGAGGCCGAAAGGCGUAGUCGAUGGGAAACAGGUUAAUAUUCCUGUACUUGGUGUUACUGCGAAGGGGGGACGGAGAAGGCUAUGUUGGCCGGGCGACGGUUGUCCCGGUUUAAGCGUGUAGGCUGGUUUUCCAGGCAAAUCCGGAAAAUCAAGGCUGAGGCGUGAUGACGAGGCACUACGGUGCUGAAGCAACAAAUGCCCUGCUUCCAGGAAAAGCCUCUAAGCAUCAGGUAACAUCAAAUCGUACCCCAAACCGACACAGGUGGUCAGGUAGAGAAUACCAAGGCGCUUGAGAGAACUCGGGUGAAGGAACUAGGCAAAAUGGUGCCGUAACUUCGGGAGAAGGCACGCUGAUAUGUAGGUGAAGCGACUUGCUCGUGGAGCUGAAAUCAGUCGAAGAUACCAGCUGGCUGCAACUGUUUAUUAAAAACACAGCACUGUGCAAACACGAAAGUGGACGUAUACGGUGUGACGCCUGCCCGGUGCCGGAAGGUUAAUUGAUGGGGUUAGCGGUAACGCGAAGCUCUUGAUCGAAGCCCCGGUAAACGGCGGCCGUAACUAUAACGGUCCUAAGGUAGCGAAAUUCCUUGUCGGGUAAGUUCCGACCUGCACGAAUGGCGUAAUGAUGGCCAGGCUGUCUCCACCCGAGACUCAGUGAAAUUGAACUCGCUGUGAAGAUGCAGUGUACCCGCGGCAAGACGGAAAGACCCCGUGAACCUUUACUAUAGCUUGACACUGAACAUUGAGCCUUGAUGUGUAGGAUAGGUGGGAGGCUUUGAAGUGUGGACGCCAGUCUGCAUGGAGCCGACCUUGAAAUACCACCCUUUAAUGUUUGAUGUUCUAACGUUGGCCCGUAAUCCGGGUUGCGGACAGUGUCUGGUGGGUAGUUUGACUGGGGCGGUCUCCUCCUAAAGAGUAACGGAGGAGCACGAAGGUUGGCUAAUCCUGGUCGGACAUCAGGAGGUUAGUGCAAUGGCAUAAGCCAGCUUGACUGCGAGCGUGACGGCGCGAGCAGGUGCGAAAGCAGGUCAUAGUGAUCCGGUGGUUCUGAAUGGAAGGGCCAUCGCUCAACGGAUAAAAGGUACUCCGGGGAUAACAGGCUGAUACCGCCCAAGAGUUCAUAUCGACGGCGGUGUUUGGCACCUCGAUGUCGGCUCAUCACAUCCUGGGGCUGAAGUAGGUCCCAAGGGUAUGGCUGUUCGCCAUUUAAAGUGGUACGCGAGCUGGGUUUAGAACGUCGUGAGACAGUUCGGUCCCUAUCUGCCGUGGGCGCUGGAGAACUGAGGGGGGCUGCUCCUAGUACGAGAGGACCGGAGUGGACGCAUCACUGGUGUUCGGGUUGUCAUGCCAAUGGCACUGCCCGGUAGCUAAAUGCGGAAGAGAUAAGUGCUGAAAGCAUCUAAGCACGAAACUUGCCCCGAGAUGAGUUCUCCCUGAGACUUUAAGUCUCCUGAAGGAACGUUGAAGACGACGACGUUGAUAGGCCGGGUGUGUAAGCGCAGCGAUGCGUUGAGCUAACCGGUACUAAUGAACCGUGAGGCUUAACCUU